rnacentral:rRNA from 1 species
UACAGAGGUCUCAAGCGUUGUUCGGAUUCAUUGGGCGUAAAGGGCGCGUAGGCGGCGCCGUAAGUCAGGUGUGAAAUUUCGGAGCUUAACUGCGAAACUGCAUUUGAUACUGCGGUGCUUGAGGACUGGAGAGGAGACUGGAAUUUACGGUGUAGCAGUGAAAUGCGUAGAGAUCGUAAGGAAGACCAGUGGCGAAGGCGGGUCUCUGGACAGUUCCUGACACUGAGGCACGAAGGCCAGGGGAGCAAACGGG